rnacentral:rRNA from 1 species
GGGACACGUGGUAUCCUGUCUGAAUAUGGGGGGACCAUCCUCCAAGGCUAAAUACUCCUGACUGACCGAUAGUGAACCAGUACCGUGAGGGAAAGGCGAAAAGAACCCCGGCGAGGGGAGUGAAAAAGAACCUGAAACCGUGUACGUACAAGCAGUGGGAGCACCUUCGGGUGUGACUGCGUACCUUUUGUAUAAUGGGUCAGCGACUUAUAUUCUGUAGCAAGGUUAACCGUAUAGGGGAGCCGCAGGGAAACCGAGUCUUAACUGGGCGUUAAGUUGCAGGGUAUAGACCCGAAACCCGGUGAUCUAGCCAUGGGCAGGUUGAAGGUUGGGUAACACUAACUGGAGGACCGAACCGACUAAUGUUGAAAAAUUAGCGGAUGACUUGUGGCUGGGGGUGAAAGGCCAAUCAAACCGGGAGAUAGCUGGUUCUCCCCGAAAGCUAUUUAGGUAGCGCCUCGUGAACUCAUCUUCGGGGGUAGAGCACUGUUUCGGCUAGGGGGUCAUCCCGACUUACCAACCCGAUGCAAACUACGAAUACCGAAGAAUGUUAUCACGGGAGACACACGGCGGGUGCUAACGUCCGUCGUGAAGAGGGAAACAACCCAGACCGCCAGCUAAGGUCCCAAAGUCAUGGUUAAGUGGGAAACGAUGUGGGAAGGCACAGACAGCCAGGAUGUUGGCUUAGAAGCAGCCAUCAUUUAAAGAAAGCGUAAUAGCUCACUGGUCGAGUCGGCCUGCGCGGAAGAUGUAACGGGGCUAAACCAUGCACCGAAGCUGCGGCAGCGACACUAUGUGUUGUUGGGUAGGGGAGCGUUCUGUAAGCCUGCGAAGGUGUGCUGUGAGGCAUGCUGGAGGUAUCAGAAGUGCGAAUGCUGACAUAAGUAACGAUAAAGCGGGUGAAAAGCCCGCUCGCCGGAAGACCAAGGGUUCCUGUCCAACGUUAAUCGGGGCAGGGUGAGUCGACCCCUAAGGCGAGGCCGAAAGGCGUAGUCGAUGGGAAACAGGUUAAUAUUCCUGUACUUGGUGUUACUGCGAAGGGGGGACG